AAGCCAGCAGUAACAGGUCUCACCCAGUUCCCAGGAAGCCCAAAAGGCCUGUCUCACUCCUACUGUGAUCCCCCUCAACAGCACAGAGUUUGUUUCCAGGCAGCUGGUGAACAGUGCUGAGACCUUUCCUCAGGCUAUAAGCCUCCCCACUGAGAAUGCAAGGAGGACUUCCAGGUUUCACGCCUCCCCAUCAGCAAAGGUUUUCUCCACAAGGACACGUGCAAGGCUAAGUCAGGAAUGGAUUCCUGGAACCAAGAGUGUCCACAGGGCUCUUGCUGCUGCUUCCUCUACCACUGUAUUUUAUAUAGGUUCUGAGGUGCAUGUGCAGAACAUUCAGGACUGCUGCAUAGUAAAGGAACUACUGUAUGAGGAGCUCAAACAGCCCUCCGAAGAGAAACACAUGUCAAGGAACUGA
rnacentral:lncRNA from 1 species